rnacentral:lncRNA from 1 species
GGUGGUUGGGGGUCAGUGGGACCCCAUAGAUCGAUGUAGGGGUCAAUGGGACCCCAUAGAUUGGGAUGGGGUGGUUGGGGGUCAGUGGGAUCCCAUAGAUUGGGAUGGGGUGGUUGGGGGGCGUUGGGAUCCCAUAGAUAUUCAUCCCCAUAGCACUGCCCCAUAGCAGCCCCACAGCACCCCACAGCCCCCCACAGCACCCACCAGACCCCCAUAGCACCCCAUAGCACCCCAUAGCACCCCACA